GGGGAGUAUGGUCGCAAGGCUGAAACUUAAAGGAAUUGACGGAAGGGCACCACCAGGAGUGGAGCCUGCGGCUUAAUUUGACUCAACACGGGGAAACUCACCAGGUCCAGACACAAUAAGGAUUGACAGAUUGAGAGCUCUUUCUUGAUUUUGUGGGUGGUGGUGCAUGGCCGUUCUUAGUUGGUGGAGUGAUUUGUCUGCUUAAUUGCGAUACCGAACGAGAC
rnacentral:rRNA from 1 species